CUCAUUGGAAUAUCAACCCCUAAUAUAUGUUGCCAAAUAUAUUUAUCAUAAUUCCAGCUAGGUUGAGCUAUUUCGAGUGUGUCAUUGAAUUCCUUAAAAAAUAUGAAUAAUUUCAGUGCAACUCCAAGAGUUAUAAUGUCUAAUGAUUGUGAUGUAGCAAGAGGGUCCAAGACAUAUAGGAGGCGUGUAUGUUUCUUGAUGGAGUAUAAGAAAGUGGCUGAAGAUGUAUAUGGCACCAAAAUCCGCAACGAUACAUAUUAGAAACCAUAAAAUCAUAACAAUAACGGAUAACAACCCAAACAUACCAAGUUACAUGAUGAAUUGUUGUUGCCUACCCCCAUGCAGAAUAUUCGUUUAUGAGGCCAGGCUUAUCUACACCCAAUGAAGAGAAACAUCGUAAAAAAAUACUGCAAAAAUUUAAACAAAUCCUUUUUUGUAUGAAAUAUAAUUUGCUGCGUGAGGUACAUUCAAAUUUCAAAUCAUUCAAACAUAUGAGUAGAUCGCAGCAAAAAAGACAAAUUCGGCGUGAACAAUACAUGAACAAUAAACUUUUCCUCAUACCCCAAAUUUAUCAUUUUCGAUGAGAGCUACUCAUAUGCAGAAAUUAUCUGAAUUUUGGAGCGCACCUCACGCACAAAAUUUUCUUCCAUGAAAAAAACAGUUUUUUAUUUUGCUAGUAUUUGUUUUGAAUUGUUUGGUCGUUUUGGUUGGAGCUGAGUCUAGGCACCGAACUACUACUCCACUCCAGGCCGGCUAUGAAACAACAUUGCCAAUGUAUGAAUAAUGGGCUCCACGCGACACUUUAGAUCUCGUACUGAAUCUAAAGUGGGGACUGAGCAAUAAGAAUGUUUAAAACAUGUUGAUAUUGACUAUACAAUAUACGAUUCUGAUAACCUAUGCAAAGCUGUAGAUCCAUGGACUGGGGGUCUAUCAAUAAUAAGACCUCAUUGCGUGCCAAUAUACGCACAUCCAUGUUUAAAUGAUCAUUUUCCAUAGACAAGUCCAUUGAAUGGGGUCUCGAGCUUUGCACCCAUUCCUUUCUAAAAUAAUUAUUAAGAAUCAUAAUAAUAUAUAUCAACGUUUGAUACAUUUCUUAUGUUGCUAUGCAUGUAGUGGAAUUCUAGUAUUAGUCACUGUUAAAAAUGCUUUGACGCCCUUUAAUUAGUCAAAUGCGGAUUGAAAAUGCUUUGGAGCAUAGUUUAAAUUACAUAAAAUAGACAAACCUAUACCCAUAUUCAAACUCACUUUCGUAUGUUAUGAUUUGUAACCAUGGACUAAAUAUUUUAUGAGAAAUUUAUGAACAAUCAGAAAACGCCUGAUAUUUUAGAAUUUUUUUUGGAAUGGAGAAAGUAUGGUAUAUUUGAGAAAAAGAAACUAAAUAACCCCCUUCAUAGUACAUGUGUUGCACAUUUCAUGAGCACCAAAGAAUGAGUGUCGAUCAAACGAACAACUCCGUCCCACACCACCAGUAGGAUCGAACUGAUUACUGUCAAUUUGCUUCUUCAUGCAAAACUUUGGCAAGAAUAAACAGUAAUCAUUACUCCCACCUUGGCCCAUAACUGAAUAACUAACAAACAAGGGGGCAAAACAGAGGAUGGUCUACUGAAUCAACUUACUGAUGCAAUUCUUUUUUUAGUAGGACCCUUGAGGGCAUUUUAUUCUUUGGAGAGAAACUUAUAGAAUUAACACGAAGAACCUGUACUUGUCCUCUUGACACUACUAAUAUAUUAAAUAGCUUGAGAAUAACCGGGAACAUACAGGUGUUCAUCUUUCUAGAGUCUCCAUACAAAAUACCUUUCAAGCAAGUAACUUCUGACAGAGAACAUGAUCUGUCAAUUUUAUUUUAUUUUGAACACACAUGAUCUAUCAAUUUAAUCAAAUCAAACCUCAACAAAUUAGGGCAAAUAUGAAGACACUGAGUUUGAAGUAAUAUAUCUUACAUGUCAUGUAAAAAUGGUGAACAAUACUUGGGGAAAAUUUAAAAGAAAAACUAUAGAUAAAAAAAUAUCACUAACACAAGUGAAACACGUUAUCACCAUGUUCCUGUAAAUUGACAGUGGGUCCAAGGUGGCGGCAACAUUGAGCUAGGCCCCAGACCUGCUUCAUACAAUGGCUACACAAAACAUUGUGCAGUUAUACUACCGAAAGCAUGCAUGCGGUCGCCGCACCCUGGAAGUGGCCAAAGGUGACGAGGGUUAUUUGGUAUGGACAUCAUAUAGGAUCAAUCAAAGAGGAAGUAAUUUGAAAAUCUACAUGUCUGAAACUUUUACCAUUCUCAGCCAUGGCACAUGAAUCUAAGGUGAAAAUAGCACAAACAUUACAUAGUUUGGAACUAAAGAUAAAUAACCAAACUUGAUCAUAUUCCAUCCUUUCUCUUGCAUGUUCCUAAUUAGUAACAUAAAAACUAUAACCAACACCCGUAUCCACAAGAGCAAGUGACAAUAUCUGAUCUCAGUAUUUUGUAUUUACCUCUGAAUGAGCCUAAUUCGCUAUCACUAUGAACAGAACAUACAAAUCCCAUAAAUAAAAAGAG
rnacentral:lncRNA from 1 species